UCUAACUAGUUUACUAGAGUUAGCCGGU
rnacentral:sRNA from 1 species